GAUGAACGCUGGCGGCGUGCCUAACACAUGCAAGUCGAGCGGCAGCGGGGGGUGCUUGCACCCUGUCGGCGAGCGGCGGACGGCUGAGUAACGUGUGGGAACGUGCCCCAAAGUGAGGAAUAACUGCCCGAAAGGGUAGCUAAUACCGCAUAUUAUCUUCGGAUCAAAGGAUUUAUCCGCUUUGGGAGCGGCUCGCGUCGGAUUAGGUAGUUGGUGAGGUAAUGGCUCACCAAGCCGACGAUCCGUAGCUGGUCUGAGAGGAUGACCAGCCAGACUGGAACUGAGACACGGUCCAGACUCCUACGGGAGGCAGCAGUGAGGAAUCUUCCACAAUGGGCGAAAGCCUGAUGGAGCAACGCCGCGUGCAGGACGAAGGCCUUCGGGUUGUAAACUGCUUUUAUAAGUGAGGAAUAUGACGGUAACUUAUGAAUAAGGAUCGGCUAACUACGUG
rnacentral:rRNA from 1 species